GCGAACGUGGCGGAAUUUGGUAUACGCGUUAGCUUGAGGUGCUAAUGAAGGCAACUUCUUGGAGGUUCGAGUCCUCUCGUUCGCACGA
rnacentral:tRNA from 3 species